GAGGAAAGUCCGGGCAGUACAGAGCAACCCACCGGUGAACAGCCGGCCACCAAUUGGUGAGAGAAAGUGCCACAGAAAAUAACUGUCUUGCCUAAGGCGAGAUGAGGGUGAAAAUGUGAGGUAAGAGCUCACGGUUGUUAUCGGUAACGGUAGCAACGGGUAAACCUUGGGUGCUGCAAUGCCACAUAUAGAGCCGUUUUGAGAGCUGCUCGUUCAAGGCUCAGGGUAGGCAGCAACAGGUAAACAGUAAUGUUUAUCGCAGAUAAAUGAUAGUGUAGAAACAGAACCCGGCUUA
rnacentral:RNase_P_RNA from 1 species